rnacentral:rRNA from 1 species
AAAUUGAAGAGUUUGAUCAUGGCUCAGAUUGAACGCUGGCGGCAGGCCUAACACAUGCAAGUCGAGCGGUAGCACAGAGAGCUUGCUCUCGGGUGACGAGCGGCGGACGGGUGAGUAAUGUCUGGGAAACUGCCUGAUGGAGGGGGAUAACUACUGGAAACGGUAGCUAAUACCGCAUAACGUCGCAAGACCAAAGUGGGGGACCUUCGGGCCUCAUGCCAUCAGAUGUGCCCAGAUGGGAUUAGCUAGUAGGUGGGGUAACGGCUCACCUAGGCGACGAUCCCUAGCUGGUCUGAGAGGAUGACCAGCCACACUGGAACUGAGACACGGUCCAGACUCCUACGGGAGGCAGCAGUGGGGAAUAUUGCACAAUGGGCGCAAGCCUGAUGCAGCCAUGCCGCGUGUGUGAAGAAGGCCUUCGGGUUGUAAAGCACUUUCAGCGGGGAGGAAGGCGGUGAGGUUAAUAACCUCACCGAUUGACGUUACCCGCAGAAGAAGCACCGGCUAACUCCGUGCCAGCAGCCGCGGUAAUACGGAGGGUGCAAGCGUUAAUCGGAAUUACUGGGCGUAAAGCGCACGCAGGCGGUCUGUCAAGUCGGAUGUGAAAUCCCCGGGCUUAACCUGGGAACUGCAUUCGAAACUGGCAGGCUAGAGUCUUGUAGAGGGGGGUAGAAUUCCAGGUGUAGCGGUGAAAUGCGUAGAGAUCUGGAGGAAUACCGGUGGCGAAGGCGGCCCCCUGGACAAAGACUGACGCUCAGGUGCGAAAGCGUGGGGAGCAAACAGGAUUAGAUACCCUGGUAGUCCACGCCGUAAACGAUGUCGAUUUGGAGGUUGUGCCCUUGAGGCGUGGCUUCCGGAGCUAACGCGUUAAAUCGACCGCCUGGGGAGUACGGCCGCAAGGUUAAAACUCAAAUGAAUUGACGGGGGCCCGCACAAGCGGUGGAGCAUGUGGUUUAAUUCGAUGCAACGCGAAGAACCUUACCUGGUCUUGACAUCCACAGAACUUUCCAGAGAUGGAUUGGUGCCUUCGGGAACUGUGAGACAGGUGCUGCAUGGCUGUCGUCAGCUCGUGUUGUGAAAUGUUGGGUUAAGUCCCGCAACGAGCGCAACCCUUAUCCUUUGUUGCCAGCGGUUCGGCCGGGAACUCAAAGGAGACUGCCAGUGAUAAACUGGAGGAAGGUGGGGAUGACGUCAAGUCAUCAUGGCCCUUACGACCAGGGCUACACACGUGCUACAAUGGCAUAUACAAAGAGAAGCGACCUCGCGAGAGCAAGCGGACCUCAUAAAGUAUGUCGUAGUCCGGAUUGGAGUCUGCAACUCGACUCCAUGAAGUCGGAAUCGCUAGUAAUCGUAGAUCAGAAUGCUACGGUGAAUACGUUCCCGGGCCUUGUACACACCGCCCGUCACACCAUGGGAGUGGGUUGCAAAAGAAGUAGGUAGCUUAACCUUCGGGAGGGCGCUUACCACUUUGUGAUUCAUGACUGGGGUGAAGUCGUAACAAGGUAACCGUAGGGGAACCUGCGGUUGGAUCACCUCCUUA